AUACGAAGGGGGCUAGCGUUGUUCGGAAUUACUGGGCGUAAAGCGCACGUAGGCGGAUUGAUAAGUUAGGGGUGAAAUCCCGAGGCUCAACCUCGGAACUGCCUUUAAUACUGUUAGUCUCGAGUCCGGAAGAGGUGAGUGGAAUUCCUAGUGUAGAGGUGGAAUUCGUAGAUAUUAGGAAGAACACCAGUGGCGAAGGCGGCUCACUGGUCCGGUACUGACGCUGAGGUGCGAAAGCGUGGGGAGCAAACAGGAUUAGAAACCCUUGUAGUCC
rnacentral:rRNA from 1 species